UCGGGAAUUUUGGGCAAUGGGCGAAAGCCUGACCCAGCAACGCCGCGUGAGGGAUGAAGUAUUUCGGUAUGUAAACCUCGAAAGAAUGGGAAGAAUAAAUGACGGUACCAUUUAUAAGCUCCGGCUAACUACGUGCCAGCAGCCGCGGUAAUACGUAGGGAGCAAGCGUUGUUCGGAUUUACUGGGCGUAAAGGGCGCGUAGGCGGCGCGGUAAGUCACUUGUGAAAUCUCUGAGCUUAACUCAGAACGGCCAAGUGAUACUGCUGUGCUAGGGGGCGGAAGAGGCAGCCGGAAUUCUUGGUGUAGCGGUAAAAUGCGUAGAUAUCAAGAGGAACACCUGAGGCGAAGGCGGGUUGCUGGGCCGACACUGACGCUGAUGCGCGAAAGCCAGGGGAGCAAACG
rnacentral:rRNA from 1 species